AACAAAUGACUUCUUUUUGGAUAUUAAACCAAUUUGACUUUCUAAACGAUGAAUACGAGGUACCCACUCACCUUGAUCCAAAGACGCGUCUAAUGUUUUCACAUUUGAAGAAGCUAAAUGGAAUGGGUUCGAAUUUGAAGAAGGGCAAUCUUUAGUUUUAUCCUUGUCACGAGAAAACCCAGGUACCCGGAAACGACGGAGAAAGCUAGUU